AUUGAACGCUGGCGGCAGGCUUAACACAUGCAAGUCGAGCGGUAACACUUCGGGUGACGAGCGGCGGACGGGUGAGUAAUACAUAGGAAUCUGCCUAGUAGUGGGGGAUAACGUAGGGAAACUUACGCUAAUACCGCAUACAUCCUACGGGGGAAAGCAGGGGAUCUUCGGACCUUGCGCUAUUAGAUGAGCCUAUGUCGGAUUAGCUAGUUGGUGAGGUAAAGGCUCACCAAGGCGACGAUCCGUAGCUGGUCUGAGAGGAUGAUCAGCCACACUGGGACUGAGACACGGCCCCAGACUCCUACGGGAGGCAGCAGUGGGGAAUAUUGGACAAUGGGCGCAAGCCUGAUCCAGCCAUGCCGCGUGUGUGAAGAAGGCCUUAGGGUUGUAAAGCACUUUCAUUGGGGAGAAAGGCUGUUUGGUUAAUACCCAAGCAGAUUGAUGUUACCCAAAGAAGAAGGACCGGCUAACUCCGUGCCAGCAGCCGCGGUAAUACGGAGGGUCCAAGCGUUAAUCG
rnacentral:rRNA from 1 species